AACAAACGCUGGCGGCGUGUCUUAAGCAUGCAAGUUGAGCGGCAAGGAGGAGAGAUCCUCCCUAGAGCGGCGGACUGGUGAGUAACGCGUGGGUAAUCUAUCGUAGGCAUGGGGAUAGUCACUAGAAAUAGUGGGUAAUACCGAAUACGUUCCAUGAGGGGAGUACUUAUGGAAGAAAGGGUGCUAUGGCACUGGCCUUAGGUGAGCUCGCGUCCCAUUAGCUAGUUGGUGAGGUAAAGGCCCACCAAGGCGAUGAUGGGUAGCCGGCCUGAGAGGGUGUACGGCCACACUGGGACUGAGAUACGGCCCAGACUCCUACGGGAGGCAGCAGCUAAGAAUAUUCCGCAAUGGACGAAAGUCUGACGGAGCGACGCCGCGUGGAUGAAGAAGGCCGAAAGGUUGUAAAGUUCUUUUGCUAGGGAGAAUAAGUGAGGGAGGAAUGCCCUCAUGAUGACAAGGACUAGCGAAUAAGCCCCGGCAACUACGUGCCAGCACG
rnacentral:rRNA from 1 species